UAGGGAAUUUUCCACAAUGGGCGCAAGCCUGAUGGAGCGACGCCGCGUGCAGGAUGACAGCCUUCGGGUUGUAAACUGCUUUUCUCUGUGACGAUUAUGACGGUAGCAGAGGAAUAAGGGUCGGCUAACUACGUGCCAGCAGCCGCGGUCAUACGUAGGACCCAAGCGUUAUCCGGAAUUACUGGGCGUAAAGAGUUGCGUAGGCGGCAGUGUAAGCGGAGUGUGAAAUCGUGUGGCUCAACCAUACGGCUAUGCUCUGAACUGCACCGCUAGAGUAUGGAAGAGGUAACUGGAAUUCCUAGUGUAGGAGUGAAAUCCGUAGAUAUUAGGAGGAACACCGAUGGCGUAGGCAGGUUACUGGUCCAUUACUGACGCUCAGGCACGAAAGCGUGGGGAGCAAACGGG
rnacentral:rRNA from 1 species